UUGAAGGUCCAGCCCCGGAGGGAACAACAUACUGAGAGGCUGCAAAAGGAAGCAGCGCAUGCCAUGGUAGGCUGGAAUUUUAUCCUAAGAUAAAAGAAGCAACUGUGGGAUGGGGAUUUCAACUGCAACUGGAUUUUGGAGAGACCUCUCUUGAGGCAGGACUGGAGAUGUGGAAGUCCUAUUGUGAAGCAGGACCAGUGAGGAAGUUGCCAUGGAGACCCGACAGAGUGAGGAUGCUGUGCCUGGAAACGCAGGAACCUGGACUAGGGACCACCUCAGAUCAACCUCUCAGGAAUUUCGAUGGGAGUUCUUCUGAUGGGUGGGGUGUGAUGUGCUGAGUGCUGCAAAGACAGACAUGCAUUUGCCUCAUCCACCACCUCCAGAAACAGCAUUCCUCAGACAACAGAGAGACCUAUGAAGAGGUUCACUAUACCCUGGUCACAGGGCUCUGCCAGUUCACAUCAGUCUCUCCUCGUCCAAGCCCUGGCUGGAAUUCAGGUGAUUCCUGGCUCUACGACCAGAAAUGGCUGGCCGCACAGAGUGGGCACGAAAGGUCACUGGCGAAUUUCUACCUGCAGACACUGCACAUCACGCCUUCCCGAUGGAUGUGAAAGACAGCCGCCGGAGCUGCUAGUCACCGAGGGUCCCCCAGUCAUGUCCCGGGGAAAUGAGUUAACUGGGCUCUCCUGGCUCGGAAGCUUCGAGCAAUGAAUUAAACCCCAAGUCGCUGCGGAACACAGAGGGGAAAGGGACACCGCGCCUGGAGCGCACAUCCCGGCCAUUCACCCCUCCG